UUAAGUCCCAUAACGAGCGCAACCCCUAUCAUUAGUUGCCAUCAGGUCAAGCUGGGGACUCUAAUGAAACUGCCUACGCAAGUAGUGAGGAAGGUGGGGAUGACGUCAAAUCAGCACGGCCCUUACGUCCAGGGCUACACACGUGCUACAAUGGCCGGUACAAAGGGCAGCUACCUGGUGACAGGAUGCUAAUCUCAAAAGCCGGUCUCAGUUCGGAUCGGAGUCUGCAACCCGACUCCGUGAAGUUGGAUUCGCUAGUAAUCGCGCAUCAGCCAUGGCGCGGUGAAUACGUUCCCGGGCCUU
rnacentral:rRNA from 1 species